rnacentral:sRNA from 2 species
CGCGCCGUCACUGGGGAGUAGCCGCCCGAAUCUCCAUCGGGGGGUCCGUCAACAGACUUGCCGCAGGCCGCAGGGCCCAAGGCAUGGCGGAUCCGGCAGCAUGGCCUGAUCGCUUCGGCGGACAGGCGCUUGGCGAGACCUUUGGCUUUCGUGCGCCGGU